GGGAAGGAUGAUGGUAUGAUGAGGUAAUGUAGUAAAUAGAUUUCCAUCACAUUUGUCAGAUUAUCAACCUUUGAAGCCUUAUUUACAUCCUUGGAUCCAUUGAAAUAAUGGUUUCUGGUAACAGCAAAACUGUCUUUAAUUUCAUCAGAUAGUCCCAUAAUCAAUAUUGUACAUAAACAUUGCAAAGAAUUGUUGUUUUCCUGAUUCUAUCACUCAUCUGAGUUGAGGAAUUGUUCACUGUUGCAGGAAGCUGCUAGAGGACUUCUGU
rnacentral:misc_RNA from 1 species